rnacentral:misc_RNA from 1 species
GUGAAGAACGCAGCGAAAUGCGAUAAGUAAUGUGAAUUGCAGAAUUCAGUGAAUCAUCGAAUCUUUGAACGCACAUUGCGCCCGCCAGUAUUCUGGCGGGCAUGCCUGUCCGAGCGUCAUUUCAACCAUCAAGCCCCGGGCUUGUGUUGGGGACCUGCGUCCGACGCAGGCCCUGAAAACCAGUGGCGGGCUCGCUGUCCACACCGAGCGUAGUAACUAACCUCGCUAUGGAGUGGCGCGGGCGCCUGCCGUAAAACCCCCAAUUUUUACAAGGUUGACCUCGGAUCAGGUAGGAAUACCCGCUGAACUUAAGCAUAUCAAUAAGCGGAGGA